ensembl:misc_RNA Metazoa_SRP Metazoan signal recognition particle RNA
GCCGGGCAUGGUGGCGCGUGCCUGUAAUCCCAGCUACUUGGGAGGCUGAGACAGGAGAAUCGUUUGAACCCAGGAGGUGGGGGUUGCAGUGAGCUGAGAAUGCGCCACUGCACUCUAGCCUGGGUAACAAGGGCGAAACUCCGUCUCAA